AGUAAAUUGAAUUAAUAAUAAAUAGUGACAUCUCUAAUAUCUUCUUCGUCAACAAAACAAUCUCUUUAAUUGAAAUAAUUUCCGUUUUAUCUUUUGAUUUGGUGACAGCAGUUUAAAGACCUAUGCUACACGUUAUAUAUUUUUUUCCAACAAUAUCUUACGAACGAGUUAAAUUAUAUGAUUUUUCUAAGUAAAAAGAGAGAGCCGACCAAAAAAAAAAAAAUCAAACGGUAAAUGACAAAGUAACUACGGUUAAAAUAAAUAACCAACGCUCGAUAAUCCCGGAUAAUAGAAAAAAAAAAACAGAGACAGCUAGAAAAAAAACAGAGCUCCUUCGCGACGAGAAGUCGCCGCCGGAAUCGAGAGGCCAAGGCCGUAGUUUGAGAGUUUAAAGGAAAAUUACUCCCGACGUUGAUUAGUCUCCGGAGGAUACUUUGUGAUAUUUUGUUGAUUCAUAGGUAGACUGUGAAGACUUGCAAAAGAUAGCCUUUUGACUUCUUUGUUCACUGUUACACGAUGAAUGACGCUCUUGUAUAUGCCGUUGCUCAUCACCUCUACCUGAUCUCCCAGCUGAACUAUCAAAGCUCCUUCUAUAUACGGCACACAAACCCAGUUUUUGUUGCAGUCCAUUAUCUGGAGUCCCUUGCUACUCUGAAGUAAGAUGGUCAGUGAGCUGAAGUCUGAGUGUGGUGGCAUUCCCAAGGCCAUUUCAGGUUCCGGGCAUGCUGGAUAACAAUUCACUGCCAUGACUUCAAAUGUGUUGCCUCUGCAUACUUGCCCACUUUAUCCCUGAAAGCAUGGAGGAUUUGAUGGCCACAUAUCGAUCCACUUUGAGAGUGGAUGAGAGUAAUGCUUGAUGAAAUCUCUCCAGUAGUGAACUCUGUCUGUUGAAUGGUUAAGGCUUGUGCCAUACCUGACUGGCUCAUGAACGUUUGCAGACACCAGAAGCAUCUUCUCUUCCACAGGCCAUGCUAAUCUCGUGGAUUGCGAGGGAUCGAAGGAAAGGUUGGUGCAAAAGAGAGAGAUCAAUGACAGGAAGUGUAGUCUCGCUGGUGCCUAAGCUUGAACCAAGAGCUGGCCUUUGCGAAGGAGGAAGAACGUAGCGAUCAGGGACUUGAGGCACACCUGAAUUGGUAAGUGUCAUUGCACUUGUAAAAGAAUCAUCAAGCAAACUCAUUUUUGUUUCCUCCAUAUUUUUUUGUUUGCUCUUUAUGUAUUUAGUACUACUAUACUAAAGAGUAUGGCAACAUGCAUAGCGUAUAUAUAUACUUGUUAAAAUUUCUUCUAGAAAGAUAAAUAUCC
rnacentral:lncRNA from 1 species